AUUGAACGCUGGCGGCAUGCCUUACACAUGCGAGUCGAACGGUAACAGGUUAAGCUGACGAGUGGCGAACGGGUGAGUAAUGUAUCGGAACGUGCCCAGUCGUGGGGGAUAACUGCUCGAAAGAGCAGCUAAUACCGCAUACGACCUGAGGGUGAAAGCGGGGGAUCGCAAGACCUCGCGCGAUUGGAGCGGCCGAUAUCAGAUUAGGUAGUUGGUGAGGUAAAGGCUCACCAAGCCGACGAUCUGUAGCUGGUCUGAGAGGACGACCAGCCACACUGGGACUGAGACACGGCCCAGACUCCUACGGGAGGCAGCAGUGGGGAAUUUUGGACAAUGGGCGCAAGCCUGAUCCAGCCAUGCCGCGUGCGGGAAGAAGGCCUUCGGGUUGUAAACCGCUUUUGUCAGGGAAGAAAAGGUUCUGGCUAAUACCUGGGACUCAUGACGGUACCUGAAGAAUAAGCACCGGCUAACUACGU
rnacentral:rRNA from 1 species